rnacentral:lncRNA from 1 species
UACAGAUACAAUUGCAAGGAGAGCCUGUCGGCUCAAGUGUCGUCCCUUUGAUUUACAGUUGCAAUAGCAGGAGCUGCAUGAAUUUCAAAUGAUGUGAUCAUAUCCUACCAAUUCCUUGGGCUCCAGCGAGAGUGAACCCUGGGUAGAUCAUUUGCGGUGUCUUACAAUGAUGAACACACCAGGUUGUAAGAGAUGUGGAGUGUCACGCUAAGGGCUUCUGACCUGUCAUCCUGCCCUCAAUCAACCAUAAUCACCUCUACCAUGAUGGUUGUUAUUUUGGAGAAGAUUCAGCAAUGAGACUAAAAUGAAGACACAUGUGAAGGUCCUCCAGAUGCUCCUUUUGUUGGGAUGACACAAUGCUGGAUGUACCAAGCCUUAGAUGCUGAAGGACUUUCUGGAAGAGACCAGUGACCACUGAGGGGAAAGUGCCCUGAAAAUCCACACAGGAAAGACCUAGUUAAAAGUGAAGAGAAUUGCUGAGCUUAUGAUAUACAUUUAAUAGACAGCCUAUACAGCUGGUCCAUAAAUAUGCAUAUUUGGUAAAAAUAAGUAUAGUCAGGGGGCAGUAGAGAAUCAGGCCUAGACACUGGAGGUCCUGGGUUCAAAUUUGAACUCAGAAACUUCGAGAGUUGUGACCCUAGGCAAAUGCAUAACUCCCAUUGAUUCUAGGACAGAAAUAAGGGCUUUAAAAAAUGAGUUGAUCCCAGGAUUUGACAAAAGAAGAAAGAACUGAAUCAUUAUGAGGAAAUGCAAAAUUCCUUUCAUGAAUUUUUCCCCCCGAAGAAAAAAGGCCCUUUUUUGUUUCUAACAUUGUUAGUAUUAAUAAAUGGCUUCAGGACAUAGAAUAAAAAAAUCUC